GAUGAACGCUAGCGGCAGGCCUAAUACAUGCAAGUCGAACGGGUGGUCGCAAGACCACUAGUGGCGCACGGGUGCGUAACGCGUAACCAACCUGCCCCGAUCUGGGGGAUAGCCCGCCGAAAGGCGGAUUAAUACCGCAUAUACCCGCAGCCUGGCAUCAGGCAACGGGGAAAGAUUUAUUGGAUCGGGAUGGGGUUGCGUGACAUUAGCUAGUUGGCGGGGUAAGGGCCCACCAAGGCGACGAUGUCUAGGGGACCUGAGAGGGUGAUCCCCCACACUGGCACUGAGAUACGGGCAGACUCCUACGGGAGGCAGCAGUAGGGAAUAUUGGGCAAUGGGCGAGAGCCUGACCCAGCCAUGCCGCGUGCCGGAUGAAGGCCUUCUGGGUUGUAAACGGCUUUUCUCAGGGAAGAAAAAGACCUUGCGAGGUACACUGACGGUACCUGAGGAAUAAGCACCGGCUAACUCCGUG
rnacentral:rRNA from 1 species